UAGGGAAUCUUCGGCCAUGGACGAAAGUCUGACCGAGCAACGCCGCGUGAGUGAAGAAGGUUUUCGGAUCGUAAAACUCGGUUGUUAGAGAAGAACAAGGACGUUAGUAACUGAACGUCCCCUGACGGUAUCUAACCAGAAAGCCACGGCUAACUACGUGCCAGCAGCCGCGGUAAUACGUAGGUGGCAAGCGUUGUCCGGAUUUAUUGGGCGUAAAGCGAGCGCAGGCGGUUUCUUAAGUCUGAUGUGAAAGCCCCCGGCUCAACCGGGGAGGGUCAAUGGAAACUGGGAGACUUGAGUGCAGAAGAGUAGAGUGGAAUUCCAUGUGUAGCGGUUAAAUGCGUAGAUAUAUGGAGGAACACCAGUGGCGAAGGCGGCUCUCUGGUCUGUAACUGACGCUGAGGCUCGAAAGCGUGGGGAGCAAACAGC
rnacentral:rRNA from 1 species